AGCGAACGCUGGCGGCAGGCUUAACACAUGCAAGUCGAACGCCAUCUUCGGAUGGAGUGGCAGACGGGUGAGUAACGCGUGGGAACGUACCCUUUGGUUCGGAAUAUUCUCGGGAAACUGAGAGCAAUACCGGAUAAGCCCUACGGGGGAAAGAUUUAUCGCCAAAGGAGCGGCCCGCGUCAGAUUAGGUAGUUGGUGGGGUAAAGGCCUACCAAGCCUACGAUCUGUAGCUGGUCUGAGAGGAUGAUCAGCCACACUGGGACUGAGACACGGCCCAGACUCCUACGGGAGGCAGCAGUGGGGAAUCUUGGACAAUGGGCGCAAGCCUGAUCCAGCCAUGCCGCGUGGAUGAUGAAGGCCUUAGGGUUGUAAAAUCCUUUCAACGGGGACGAUAAUGACGGUACCCGUAGAAGAAGCCCCGGCUAACUUCGUG
rnacentral:rRNA from 1 species